rnacentral:lncRNA from 1 species
UUUUUUUUUUUUUUCUCAUUCCUUUAAAAGUUUAAUUCAGGGGAAUAAAAAAUAAUUUGUGACCAGGGUAGUAAAGAUAUUAUGACACAAGGCAGAGCUUAACUUUCCUGUGUGCUUCUGGGCUUUGCAGUUUGGAGAGAAAGCAGCUGAGUGAAACUCAGCCUCCUGCUUUGUGGAACCUCAUUAUAUACAUUGUAAUGUUUAAACCUACCACUUGGUCAAAUAAUAAAGGAGGAAGAGAAGAGGAAGAAGAAGCCAUCUCCCGCCCCCUAACAGGGACCAAUGCCAACCCCUUCCAUUUAUGCAGCUCUGCCCUCUUUACAAGUAAAUUAAUUCACUUAUUUUCCAAGAACCCCAAUGUACAGAUGUGCAGAAAGACUAGCAUCUCCUUUUACAGAUAAAGACACUACAGUUUAGCAAGAAUAAGUCACUUGCCCAAGAACACAUAGGCAGCAAGUCAGUUAAAAUGUUUUCAGUUAAAAGUAACAGAAGACUUGAUUUUAAAUAGCUUGAACAGGAGUGCCCAUUGUGGCUCAUGAGUAAUGAACUCGACUAGCAUCCAGAGGUUCGAUCCCUGGUCCCGAACAGUAGGUUAAGGAUCCAGCAUUGCUGUGAGCUGUGGUGUAGCUCGCUGAUGAGGCUUCGAUCUGGCAUUGCUGUGGCUGUGGUGUAUGCCGACAGCUGCAAUUCAGCCCCUAGCUUGGGAACUUCCAUAUGCCACUGGUGUAGCCCUAAUAAUAAUAAUAAUAAUAGUCAUAAAUAGCUUAGGGAGUUCCUGUCAUGGCUCAGCGGUAACAAACCCAGCUAAUAUCCAUGAAGACAUGGGUUCAAUCUUUGGCCUUGUGGGGACAGGGUCAGGAAGAGGACAAGGACCUGAUGAGCCUUGUAAAUCAACAUUUUAUCCAGGAAGGUGGGAAAGACAAUCUAUAGUAGGUGACUAACAUCAUGAGGUUUCCUGUGCCAAGCCUCUGAGGUGUGAAACGCUUGGCAUAACCAAGGAACUGAGGCCCCAGAGUAGCUGGAGCUCAGAGAGCCAGUGCUGCAGAGGCAUCAAAAGGAGUUCUGGGAGGCAGCAGAGCCAGGGUCCACAGCCAGGCUAAGGGGCUUACAUUUUAUUGAGAGAAAGGAAUAGAUGAAACACAAAGACGAAGCAGGAAAAGAGAGACUUGGAAGGCAAAUUUCCUGAGCUCAAGCCACUUGAGAUCAUGCUGGCAGUGGAGAACCCCGGGGUGGGAUUUCAGAGCACAACCAGCCUCGGGCCAUCCUACCCAGCCAAGGAUGGUGUAACAGCCUCCCAGAGGUCCACACCUCCCGGAGUCAGCUCAGGGUCCUCCCCAGGGUGGGCUGCAGGCCUCAGGGAGACCUUCAGAAGUGAGUGAUUUGCCCCAAGGACAAGCCACAAAGGGCCAGCCCCUCCUCCUGGCAGCUUCCAGAUCUCCUGCAGGUGGAGGCCAUCAAAAAGAGAUGAGCACACAGCCCUGAGACACCUGUGGGGAGGAGCUUUAUUGGUCUGCCCUUACUGGGAACUCCUCCAGCUGAUGGGAGGGGGAGAAACCUGAGCUCUCUGGCAGGAGUCAGAUGGGCCCUGGAAACACAUUUCCCCUUGGGUCGCCUUUGCAAAAUCUAUGAUGGAUGUGGGACUUGCAGAGUUUAGAAUUUUCUAGCCAAAAUGUAUCUUCAGAACCUUCGAAUCCCAGCUCUUAACUUUAGAGAAGAGAAAGCCAAAGCCUAAGAGGAAAAGUGGCUUGCCCCCAGAUCACAAAGUUAGUCAUAAUGGACCGUGACUGGUACAUAUCUGAAGACUCUCUAUUUAGUGCUCUUGCCAAUAAUAAUAAUAAUAAUAACUAACAAAUAUUGAGCCUUUACUAUGUAUUAGACUAUUCUAAGAGCCUAGAAUGUUUUAUUUAAUCUGUGCCAUUACAAUAGUAUGAUCCCCAUUUUAGAGAUGAAGAAACUGAGGCACAGUUUAAGUAACUCUCCCAAACUUGCAGUUAGAUUUUGAACUCGGGGAGCCUGCACUUUUAAAGACCACUAGGAAGUGCCUAUGGAUGUCUAACCCCUCUGCUCCAACCCCACCUCCUCCAAAAGGCAAAAUCUAUUCACUAAUGUGGACUCUACUUUAAAAUGUUUGGUUUGCUUUGGACCUGAGUGGGUUCGCUCUCUUCUCCCACCCACAGCCUUCACUCAGUCUGGGACAGCCAGUGGUCUGUGCUAACAAUAGACCAGGAUAGCAUGCUAGCCCUUUUUCCUCUAUGCUAAAUAAAUACUCCCAUCCCCAGUAACCUCAAGGUAGAAACAAGGUCACAUGCCAAUAUGUCAGCUGAGCCCGUGUCCCUUCCACCACUCACCAACUUUCUGUCCUUGGCUCUCUGUCCCUGCUGGCUGACUUAUAUAAAUUACAUCACUGGGUGUCCUUGCCCCUCAUGGUGACAAUGGGAAACAUGAUCCGGAGAUUAGAGGAAGAGAAAAGAGAGGUUGGGGUAUUUGUUCCCCCAGCACUGAAUUUCUAGUCACCACAAGCUGGCUGAAUCCCUCCCCUACAGGUCCAGCUGCUGUCGGAGGGGGGCCCUCCCAUAUAGCCCUCUGUUCUUGAUCCAGCUAUCAACUCUCCUCACCCCUUCGGGACUAGGGAUGGUGAAGAAGCCCCUCUGUUACUGGCUUCAAGGUUCUGCAACAUCCCUUGUGAUCGCCUUACCCGCCAUUCCACCAUGAAGGGUUCACUUACUCGCUUCUUGAUGUAUCCUAGUUGAGCCAUCUAUUUCCUGACUGAUACACAGAUUCUUCCUUGACCUUCUUGAUUGAGCACUCUGCCACAGGCCAGGUGAGCUGGGAGGGACAGAGCUGGCCCCUCCACCUUCAACUCUCCAGGUCCAAGUGGUUCAAAGAGGGCUGCCGCAGCUCCAUCCCAACUCAGGGAUUCACUUCUGCCAGUGGGGACCGAGGAGGGAAUGGUCCUUUCCUGGUGAUCAGCUCAGGAUGGGCGCAUGACGGGAGUUGGUACAAAUGAGAGUCCGCAUGAAGGCUUUUCUUAAAGCUGGAACCUCCUCCUAAAACUGGGAUGAGAGGCACCAGCCAGGAGCUGCUUGGGGCUCUCCUUCCUUACUCGGUAAGCGCCUGCCUGAGAAAGCAGCAAAUACAAAGGAGCAUAGAGUACGAAAAAGCAGGAAAAUCCUGCCUUGAUCAGUAGAGCACCUACUUUCAGUCAUGCUCUAAUUCAACACAACCCCUGGACUUUUCAGUGAAGGAAGCCAACCCAGUUCCUUUGAUGCUUAAAUCAAUUUGAGUUUCUGACACAUGCAAUUAAGAGUCCUGGAUAAUCUAGAAAGUCUUAAACUCAUCAAGGAUUUGAGGUACAGAUCAGGAAAUCUGAGGCAAAAGCCCAGAUGUAUGGGACCCAGCCAGUAGAGAGCUGCAACCCCAGCCUAUCUAAUGAAGUCCACAGCCUCUGAAAUCAUGCUGCUUGGGUUUGAAACCUGACUCAGCUACUUCUUGGCUGUGGGAGGUGCCCUGUGUGCCUCAGUUUCCUCAUCUGUGUGCUACAGAUAUUCAAAGCAACACUUGCCUACUAGGGCUAUUGGAAGGAUUAAAUAGGCUACCCCAUAGGAAGCACUUACAACCAUUCUGGACAGCUUAUAAACUCACAAUUAAACAUGAGGUCUUGCCAUCAUCCUAAGGCACACAGGUGACCCCAAGCUCAUUCCAGUUUGUAUAGAAAAGUGCUUCAGUUAUACAUACAUACAUACAUAUAUAUGUGUAUAUAUAUAUAUUCUUUUUCACUUUCUUUUCCAUUAUGAUUUAGCACAGGAUAUUGAAUAUAGUUUCCUGUGUUAUACAGUAGGACUUUGUUCUUUAUCCAUCCUAUAUAUAAUAAUUUGCAUUGGCUAAUCCCAAACUCCCAAUACUUACUUCUCCUCACUCACUCCUUCCAUGCCCACCAAGGUGAGAAAGCUGAGGCCAGGAAGCUGGACCUGCACCAAGUCAGAAUGGCUCAGAGGCUCCAAGGCUAAGCCUGUAGGAGAAGCCUCAACACUGACCUGCUCUUGUUGGGUUAGGAUGACUUAGGGCCCCAGGCUGGCAAGCUCAGGGCGUCCCUGAGAUGUCCAGUGCAUCCCUCAGAUCUGGCCACCAUUGCAGAACCUGCUGGGAGGCCCCUCCCCUCCCCUACCAUGACCACCACCCAGGUUGCUAUAACAAUCAUUUCAUAACCACCAGAAGCCCUGAAAAGGCAGACACCAGGGCAAGGGCCAGCCUGUAUUCCCAUCUGGGAGAGCACAUCGCCAGGCUCCCCGUCAGUUUGUAUUUGUAUUUGUGACACCCCAAGGUAGAAUGGGUUAUCUUUGGUUAGAAAGGAAAUUGUGGAUUUUGUUUUUACAGAAUUAAGGGUGCCCCUGACCAAGCAAAAGAAAAAGUGCA